rnacentral:tmRNA from 1 species
GGGGGCGACAGGUUUCGACGGCGUGCCGGAGGAUCCGGGGGAGCAGGCCGAGUUAUGUCCGUAAUUCUCGUUAAACAUUCGGGCAAGACGAUAAACGUCGAAGAUCAGUACGCACUGGCGGCUUAGGCCGGCCACGCUGACGGAUGGGUUCCUCCGCCGACCCGCCUGAGGCGUCAAAUUUGGUGGAUGCUCCGCUUGUGGUUUGGCUCCGCGCAAGUGGAAAAGACCAGGGGUCUUGGAACGCGGAAGGCUGUUUCCGGCCAACCCGCGGACGACAAUUGAACGGAGACUAAGCCUGUAGCGCCAACGCGAUUGGCCCACGACGGACGGGGGUUCGAUUCCCCCCGCCUCCACCA